rnacentral:rRNA from 1 species
AACGUAGGAGGCGAGCGUUAUCCGGAUUCACUGGGCGUAAAGCGCCGGUAGGUGGUUCGUUACGUGCGGAGUGAAAGCCCCUGGCUCAACUGGGGGAGGUCUUCGCAAACUGGCGGACUGGAGGGCCAGAGAGGAAGGUGGAAUUCCCGGUGUAGCGGUGGAAUGCGUAGAGAUCGGGAGGAACACCAGUGGCGCAAGCGGCCUUCUGGCUGGACCCUGACACUGAGAGGCGAAAGCGUGGGGAGCAAACGGG